CAAAUACUCCAUCCAGAAAUACUUGUCAUCAAAAUGGAUAAAAGGAAAUGUAUCUAGACGUAUUUUAAUUUUAGAUACAUCUCUUUUUAUCCAUUUUGAUGACAAGUAUUUUCGGACGGAGGGAGUAUUUA
rfam:Triticum aestivum genome assembly, contig: Triticum_aestivum_CS42_TGACv1_scaffold_593305_7BS